UAUAUAUACCUUUUUCUCUUUUGUAACAGUAAACAUGAAUUUCGAUCUGAUAAGGUGGGUCCACUUUUCCUUGUACCUUGCACUUCCUACGAAGCUAGCUUGUUCAAGGAAAUUGACCAACAUCAGGGUGAUGAUUAAUGAGAGAUUUCUGGAAGGAAGAGGAUACUAAUUAACACCGUAGUAGAGGUGCAUGAAAUUAAACGAGCUAGGUGGGCUAAUUAAAGUUUAUUGAUUCAUGAUUUAAAAUUGGGAGAUUUUUAGCUGUGUAUUGAUCUUUAUAUUAAUUGCUUCGAUUACAUUCUUUUCUCACGGUAGGAAGAAAAAAAAAAGAACACGGGAGAAGAAAAAUAAUAAUAAAAAUAAAAAUCCACGCUCGGUGGCAGCUUGUGGAAAUUGUGGGAAUGAGGGCGUCUGAUAUGAGAAGCAAAGCAUUUAAAGUGGCGGUAAUCGUGCACGCAAGCACACGAGGCAACAUACACAUGGAGCACACAUGGAUGGGACCCACUGCUGUCCAAACAUAGGCUUACAGCCCUACAAGAAUCAAUGAUGGAGAAGUAACCCUUCUUUUUCAUUGGUUCAAAAGCAUACUAUUAGCCCCUUGUGGUCAAACCCUCCAAACUGCAUAGCCUUGUGAUAGGGUUUCUGUGAAUAUGCAUUCACAGAGUCUCUCUUUUUUUUCUUUUUCUUUUUUUUAACAAUAGUGUAAAUUGGGUUGUAAUUUAAAAAGGGAUCAAGCCCAGGUUUACAAGCA